ACUGUGGGUGGCCUGUUCCAGAAAUAUCCCAUUUUGUAGCCAGAGGAGAGAAGGCACAGGAGCAGUGGCUGUGCGAUCUUGUUUCUGUGUCUGACAAUUUUGAUCGCCCCCUCUAUUAAAAUGCAUCGUUGCCGAUGCAUUUUAGAGAUUUGAGGCAGCGUUGGAACACACCCACACACCCACACACACACACCAUACAAUCAUCGGCGAUGCUGGAAUAUGGGAGGAGUUUCUACGGAGGAGCCAGUAGUCACGGGUUAAGCUGCAUCGGUGAGGGAUCCUCUUUCAUUUUGAAG